AAGCAGCUUCCUGGCCCAGCUCUUUAAGGAUGUGUCAGUUCCUCAGGAUCAAGGCCCGAGUGGGAACUCUGGGCUUUCUACCUCCUGGGCCCUGCCUGACUUCUUUGCUUCUCCCCUGCAUAUAUACCUCUAGGCACGAUUUGAGCGUGGCUGUCCCUGGAUUCACCUUCCCAGGGGCCCUCCUCACUGGGGCUGCAGUGUAGUCACUGUGACUUCAGUGGCCAACAGGGACAAUGAAUAAAUGAAUGAGGCAGGACCCUGGUGUAUCUUCCAGGCAGACUGAGAGGCUUGGAUAGCCACCUAGAGGUGGUGACGGCUGGCAGGCAGGAGCAUGCUCCAAGGGACAAGAAUCCUGGUCCCUUGUCUUGAAGGAGAACGCUGGUGCCAGAAGGGCAGGAGAAACUAGAUUAUGAAAUUAAAAUGGGCUGUGAGCUCUCUGGUCUGAAGAGAACAAAGUGAUGCCUCCAAGUACCUGCCCCACAGGCCACGUUCAUUCCUGGGUGCCAUGGUCUGGACACCAGAGGGGAGGUCAGAAGCCCAAAACAGGAGCUAUGAGGCAACCUGGCCAGGCCAAAGAAGGCUUCCCACUGACCCAAACUGUGGCUAAAAGAGGAGUGAGUAUAUUAGUUCCAAGACUGCUGUAACCAAUGACCCCAAACUAGGCAACUUACCACAGCAGAAGUGUAUUCCCUCAUAGUUCUGGAGACCAGAAGUACGAAAUGAAGGUGUCAACAACCCCGUGCUCUCCCCAGAGAUUCUUGGAGGCAAUCCACCCCUUGCCCUUUCCAGCUUCUGGUGGCAUGAAGACUUCAGCAUUCUUUGUGAUUACGUCACUCCAAACCCUGCCUCUGUCCUCACAGAGCCUCCUCCUCUCCUCUGUGUGCAAGUCUCCCUCCUCUUCUUAGAAGGACAUUGUCAUCAAAUUUAGUGUCCACCAGAGGCAAUCCUGGAUGAUCUUAUCUCAAGAUUCCUAACUAUAAAACCCUUUUCCCCAAAUAAGAUCACAUUUACAAGUUCUGGAGAUGAGGAUGUGAUUUUUCAUUGGGGUGGCACCAUUUAACCCACCACCAUGACAGUCUUCCAGGAAAAGCGAAGCCAGAUAUAGCCUCAAGUCAUAGGACCCCAGCAAACAAAGAGAGGUGUCAAGUGAUAGGGACUCAGGGAGAGAAGAGCAUGCCUGGCCUGGGGAGAGAGACAGUGGUGAGGUUAGCCUUCUCCAGAAUUCAGAGAAGGCACUGGAUGCCAGCACCAAAGUCAGCAGGGAAGCCCAUGUCCAGGGUGGUCAUGGGAGAGCUGCAACCUGAUGGACACAUAAGUUCCCAGGUGAUUUCUCUGAACAUUGUGUGCUAGUUAGCUUUUCAUCACUGCAAUAAACUUUCUGAG
rnacentral:lncRNA from 1 species